AAGUCAGAUGCUGCAGACCCGAAGCUAAGUGAUCUAUCCAUGGCCAAGUUGAAACGCGUGUAAUAGCGCGUGGAGGACUGAACUCGUACCCAUUGAAACGGGUUGGGAUGAGCUGUGGAUAGGGGUGAAAGGCCAAACAAACUUAGUGAUAGCUGGUUCUCUUCGAAAUAUAUUUAGGUAUAGCCUCAAGUGAUAAUAAAAGGGGGUAGAGCCCUGAUUGGGCUAGGGCUGCUCGCCGCGGUACCAAACCCUAUCAAACUUCGAAUACCUUUUAUCGUAUCUUGGGAGUCAGGCGGUGGGUGAUAAAAUCAAUCGUCAAAAGGGGAACAACCCAGACUACCAAAUAAGGUCCCUAAGUUCUAUUCUGAGUGGAAAAAGAUGUGUGGCUACUCAAACAACCAGGAGGUUGGCUUAGAAGCAGCCAUCCUUUAAAGAAAGCGUAACAGCUCACUGGUCUAGUGGUCAUGCGCUGAAAAUAUAACGGGGCUAAGAUAGACACCGAAUUUGUAGAUUGUGUUAAACACAGUGGUAGAAGAGCGUUCAUACCAGCGUUGAAGGUAUACCGGUAAGGAGUGCUGGAGCGGUAUGAAGUGAGCAUGCAGGAAUGAGUAACGAUAAGAUAUAUGAGAAUUGUAUCCGCCGUAAAUCUAAGGUUUCCUACGCGAUGGUCGUCAUCGUAGGGUUAGUCGGGUCCUAAGCCGAGUCCGAAAGGGGUAGGUGAUGGCAAAUUGGUUAAUAUUCCAAUACCGACUAUGGAGCGUGAUGGGGGGACGCAUAGGGUUAAGCGAGCUAGCUGAUGGAAGUGCUAGUCUAAGGGCGUAGAUUGGAGGGAAGGCAAAUCCACCUCUGUAUUUGAAACCCAAACAGGCUCUUUGAGUCCUUUCAGGACAAAGGGAGAAUCGCUGAUACCGUCGUGCCAAGAAAAGCCUCUAAGCAUAUCCAUAGUCGUCCGUACCGCAAACCGACACAGGUAGAUGAGAUGAGUAUUCUAAGGCGCGUGAAAGAACUCUGGUUAAGGAACUCUGCAAACUAGCACCGUAAGUUCGCGAUAAGGUGUGCCACAGCGAUGUGGUCUCAGCAAAGAGUCCCUCCCGACUGUUUACCAAAAACACAGCACUUUGCCAACUCGUAAGAGGAAGUAUAAGGUGUGACGCCUGCCCGGUGCUCGAAGGUUAAGAGGAUGCGUCAGUCGCAAGAUGAAGCGUUGAAUUGAAGCCCGAGUAAACGGCGGCCGUAACUAUAACGGUCCUAAGGUAGCGAAAUUCCUUGUCGGUUAAAUACCGACCUGCAUGAAUGGCGUAACGAGAUGGGAGCUGUCUCAACCAGAGAUUCAGUGAAAUUGUAGUGGAGGUGAAAAUUCCUCCUACCCGCGGCAAGACGGAAAGACCCCGUGGACCUUUACUACAACUUAGCACUGCUAAUGGGAAUAUCAUGCGCAGGAUAGGUGGGAGGCUUUGAAGUAAGGGCUUUGGCUCUUAUGGAGCCAUCCUUGAGAUACCACCCUUGAUGUUUCUGUUAGCUAACUGGCCUGUGUUAUCCACAGGCAGGACAAUGCUUGGUGGGUAGUUUGACUGGGGCGGUCGCCUCCUAAAAAGUAACGGAGGCUUGCAAAGGUUGGCUCAUUGCGGUUGGAAAUCGCAAGUUGAGUGUAAUGGCACAAGCCAGCCUGACUGUAAGACAUACAAGUCAAGCAGAGACGAAAGUCGGUCAUAGUGAUCCGGUGGUUCUGUGUGGAAGGGCCAUCGCUCAAAGGAUAAAAGGUACCCCGGGGAUAACAGGCUGAUCUCCCCCAAGAGCUCACAUCGACGGGGAGGUUUGGCACCUCGAUGUCGGCUCAUCGCAUCCUGGGGCUGGAGCAGGUCCCAAGGGUAUGGCUGUUCGCCAUUUAAAGCGGUACGCGAGCUGGGUUCAGAACGUCGUGAGACAGUUCGGUCCCUAUCUGCCGUGGGCGUAGGAAAGUUGAGGAGAGCUGUCCCUAGUACGAGAGGACCGGGAUGGACGUGUCACUGGUGCACCAGUUGUUCUGCCAAGAGCAUCGCUGGGUAGCUACACACGGAUGUGAUAACUGCUGAAAGCAUCUAAGCAGGAAGCCAACUCCAAGAUGAACUUUCCCUGAAGCUCGCACAAAGACUAUGUGCUUGAUAGGGUAGAUGUGUGAGCGCAGUAAUGCGUUUAGCUGACUACUACUAAUAGAGCGUUUGGCUUGUUUUU
rnacentral:rRNA from 1 species